rfam:Trichosporon asahii var. asahii CBS 8904 unplaced genomic scaffold scaffold00066, whole genome shotgun sequence.
ACAUCUAUGGUGAAAUGGUAUCAUGCAUCCUUGCCAUGGAUGCGGUGGGGGUUCGAUUCCCCCUGGAUGUA